GAUGAACGCUGGCGGCGUGCCUAAUACAUGCAAGUCGAGCGAACGGACGAGAAGCUUGCUUCUCUGAUGUUAGCGGCGGACGGGUGAGUAACACGUGGAUAACCUACCUAUAAGACUGGGAUAACUUCGGGAAACCGGAGCUAAUACCGGAUGAUAUUUUGAACCGCAUGGUUCAAAAGUGAAAGACGGUCUUGCUGUCACUUAUAGAUGGAUCCGCGCUGCAUUAGCUAGUUGGUAAGGUAAUGGCUUACCAAGGCAACGAUGCAUAGCCGACCUGAGAGGGUGAUCGGCCACACUGGAACUGAGACACGGUCCAGACUCCUACGGGAGGCAGCAGUAGGGAAUCUUCUGCAAUGGGCGAAAGCCUGACGGAGCAACGCCGCGUGAGUGAUGAAGGUCUUCGGAUCGUAAAACUCUGUUAUUAGGGAAGAACAUAUGUGUAAGUAACUGUGCACAUCUUGACGGUACCUAAUCAGAAAGCCACGGCUAACUACGUG
rnacentral:rRNA from 1 species